GCACCAGAUUUUGAAGUCUGUAGAGGGAGAGUUAAGUUCACUGGUUUGGUAGCAUCUGCUAGAUCUGCAAAAUCAAUUGAGACUUCUCCAAGAAACCCCGAUUUUGAGGACCCCUGAUUUUCCCAGGUGCAGGUUCCUUCAACAAUUGGUGAUUUUGAUAAUCUGACUGUAGGCUUUCCUACAUCUACUGGAACCAGAGAAAUCAUGAGGCUUUUUGAUUUGAGCUGCGGUACCUGCCAUUAUUUCAAUACAUAAGCCAAAUUAUGGAGAGGAAUGAGGGCAUAAUCAACAUUGUUCAAGAUCUUCUCUGAAAUAUAGCUUGUUACCAAAGACACUUGUAGUAUUAAAGUUUAAUGGACAGCACUUGUUUUUUGCAUCAACAAUGUU